GGGGAAGUAGUCCGUAAUUGGUAGCGGGGCGGUCUGUAAAACCGUUGCUUUAACGCCUUAGAAGUUCGAUGCUUCUCUUCCCCAC
rnacentral:tRNA from 1 species